GAUGAACGCUGGCGGCGUGCCUAAUACAUGCAAGUCGAGCGAACAGAUAAGGAGCUUGCUCCUUUGACGUUAGCGGCGGACGGGUGAGUAACACGUGGGUAACCUACCUAUAAGACUGGGAUAACUUCGGGAAACCGGAGCUAAUACCGGAUAACAUUUGGAACCGCAUGGUUCUAAAGUGAAAGAUGGUUUUGCUAUCACUUAUAGAAGGACCCGCGCCGUAUUAGCUAGUUGGUAAGGUAACGGCUUACCAAGGCGACGAUACGUAGCCGACCUGAGAGGGUGAUCGGCCACACUGGAACUGAGACACGGUCCAGACUCCUACGGGAGGCAGCAGUAGGGAAUCUUCCGCAAUGGCGAAAGCCUGACGGAGCAACGCCGCGUGAGUGAUGAAGGGUUUCGGCUCGUAAAACUCUGUUAUUAGGGAAGAACAAAUGUGUAAGUAACUGUGCACGUCCUGACGGUACCUAAUCAGAAAGCCACGGCUAACUACGUG
rnacentral:rRNA from 1 species